UACGUAGGGUGCGAGCGUUAAUCGGAAUUACUGGGCGUAAAGGGCUUGUAGGCGGCCUGUUAAGUCGAACGUGAAAUCCCCGGGCUCAACCCGGGAACUGCGUCCGAUACUGGCAGGCUUGAAUCCGGGAGAGGGAUGCGGAAUUCCAGGUGUAGCGGUGAAAUGCGUAGAUAUCUGGAGGAACACCGGUGGCGAAGGCGGCAUCCUGGACCGGCAUUGACGCUGAGGCGCGAAAGCCAGGGGAGCAAACGGG
rnacentral:rRNA from 1 species